CAGUACUGCCAGUAGUCUGAAACCCCUUCCCACCCGAUGGUCUCCAUUCCUCCCUUCAGUCAGCAAACAUCUGUUGUGCAUCUGCUGGGACUGUGGCAUUUUCAUGGUCUUUGGUUGGCUUUAUCAACUUCCUGUGGCCUUCUGCGUUCAUUGGCCAACAGAACACAGUAGAAGUAUUGAUGCACCUAUUCUGAGCCUAGAUCCCAGUACUGUGUGUGUCUGCUUUCUCUCUGGAACCUCUACCAUGCCAUGCAAACAAGCCCUGGC